GCGCCCUUAGCUCAGCUGGAUAGAGCGUCAGCCUCCGGAGCUGAAGGUCAGAAGUUCGAAUCUUCUAGGGCGCACCA
rnacentral:tRNA from 1 species